GAUCAUCUUCUUCGUGAAUCGUCCAACACGACCGAUCAUCCAUGAUUUGUUCCUCCAGCGCGAUAUUUUCUGAUUUAUUAAUCACGAUUCAUGCCUCCAUUGUGAUUGAUCAGCCACGAUUCAUCCUCCAACGUGAUUGAUCAGCGAUAUCUGAAUUCCUGACCAUAUGGAUUCAAUUCCAAUAUGAUCGUUGGAGGAUUAUUUCGAUUCUGAUUACUCUUUGUCGGGAGAGCAAGGAGAAACUGAUCUAGAGGUCCUGUAUGAUGUUUGCUCCGCUUAUGGGCAAGAAUAUUCACGGUUUUCCCGUGACAUUUACUGUUGGACUUCUUCCCAAGGAAAAUACUGACUCCUUUUCAUGGUUAUUGAACUAAUUUGUGAAAUGUAUGGGUGCGGCUUCCAAAUUGAUUGUAACAGACCAAGAUUUGAGAAUCAAAGUUGUUAUUAAGAAGGCCCUUGACAAUACGACCACUGGUGGUGUAUGUGGCACAUUGUAAAUAAUGUUUAGUUUACUUUUUACUUGUUUUUAGUUCACUAUAAGGGAGUUUGUUUCGUUGCAGUUUGUUUUUGUGCUCAGCUCAAGUGCGAAUUCGUUCCUUUCUAGUUAAUUUCUUACAUAUA